rnacentral:rRNA from 1 species
AGAAGCAGCCAUCAUUUAAAGAAAGCGUAAUAGCUCACUGGUCGAGUCGGCCUGCGCGGAAGAUGUAACGGGGCUAAACCAUGCACCGAAGCUGCGGCAGCGACGCUGAUGCGUUGUUGGGUAGGGGAGCGUUCUGUAAGCCUGCGAAGGUGGCCUGUGAGGGUUGCUGGAGGUAUCAGAAGUGCGAAUGCUGACAUAAGUAACGAUAAAGCGGGUGAAAAGCCCGCUCGCCGGAAGACCAAGGGUUCCUGUCCAACGUUAAUCGGGGCAGGGUGAGUCGACCCCUAAGGCGAGGCCGAAAGGCGUAGUCGAUGGGAAACGGGUUAAUAUUCCCGUACUUGGUGUUACUGCGAAGGGGGGACGGAGAAGGCUAUGUUGGCCGGGCGACGGUUGUCCCGGUUUAAGCGUGUAGGUGUGUGUUCCAGGUAAAUCCGGUUCACUUUAACACUGAGGCGUGACGACGAGGCACUACGGUGCUGAAGCAACAAAUGCCCUGCUUCCAGGAAAAGCCUCUAAGCAUCAGGUAACAUCAAAUCGUACCCCAAACCGACACAGGUGGUCA